rnacentral:lncRNA from 1 species
GUAGGAAGUAGGCAUACUCAUAAUACAAGACAAAGAAAUAAUAUUACACAAGUCAACACACGGACCCGUUUAUAUUCUGAAUAUUUCAUCCCUGCAACAACAAAACUAUGGAACACUCUUAACUUAAACAUAAGAAAAUGUGAAUCUCUAUCAUUAUUCAAAAAACAAAUUAGUACCCAAAAUAGUAAGGUCCCAACGUAUUAUUAUAUAGGACAUCGUUUUGGUCAAAUUCUUCA